rnacentral:rRNA from 1 species
CACGGGGCGCAGCAGGCGCGAAACCUCCGCAAUGCGAGCAAUUGCGACGGGGGGACCCCAAGUGCCACUCUUAACGGGGUGGCGCCCGUGAAGCGGCCCCCGCUCAUGAUAAGCACUACCAUGGG